ACUCCGAUGGUGUAACGGCAGCAUCUCAGUCUCCAAAACUGACAGUACUGGUUCGAAUCCGGUUCGGAGUUCAA
rnacentral:tRNA from 1 species